rnacentral:rRNA from 1 species
GAUAAACGCUGGCGGCGUGCCUAAUACAUGCAAGUCGAACGAAGAGCGUUGGCUUCGGUUGAUGCUCUUAGUGGCGAAUGGGUGAGUAACGCGUUGGUGACCUGCCCCGAAGUGGGGAAUAACAGUUCGAAAGGAUUGCUAAUACCACAUGUGGUCCUCGGAUUUAGAAACCGAUGACUAAAGCAGCAAUGCGCUUUGGGAGGGACCUGCGUCCCAUCAGCUAGUUGGUGAGGUAACGGCCCACCAAGGCUACGACGGGUAGGGGACCUGAGAGGGUGGCCCCCCACAAUGGAACUGAAACACGGUCCAUACACCUACGGGUGGCAG